rnacentral:rRNA from 1 species
CAGUAGCCACGGUAAUACGUAGGGUGCGAGCGUUAAUCGGAAUUACUGGGCGUAAAGCGUGCGCAGGCGGUUGUGUAAGUCAGGGGUGAAAUCCCGGGGCUCAACCUCGGAACUGCCUUUGAUACUGGGUAUCUUGAGUCCGGGAGAGGUUGGUGGAACUCCGAGUGUAGAGGUGAAAUUCGUAGAUAUUCGGAAGAACACCAGUGGCGAAGGCGGCCAACUGGCCCGGUACUGACGCUGAGGUGCGAAAGCGUGGGGAGCAAACAGGAUUAGAUACCCGAGUAGUCCCUGUCUCUUAUAA